rnacentral:rRNA from 1 species
AUUGAACGCUGGCGGCAGGCUUAACACAUGCAAGUCGAGCGGAGAUGAGGUGCUUGCACCUUAUCUUAGCGGCGGACGGGUGAGUAAUGCUUAGGAAUCUGCCUAUUAGUGGGGGACAACAUUCCGAAAGGAAUGCUAAUACCGCAUACGCCCUACGGGGGAAGGCAGGGGAUCUUCGGACCUUGCGCUAAUAGAUGAGCCUAAGUCGGAUUAGCUAGUUGGUGGGGUAAAGGCCUACCAAGGCGACGAUCUGUAGCGGGUCUGAGAGGAUGAUCCGCCACACUGGGACUGAGACACGGCCCAGACUCCUACGGGAGGCUGCAGUGGGGAAUAUUGGACAAUGGGCGGAAGCCUGAUCUAGCCAUGCCGCGUGUGUGAAGAAGGCCUUUUGGUUGUAAAGCACUUUAAGCGAGGAGGAGGCUACCUGGAUUAAUACUCUAGGAUAGUGGACGUUACUCGCAGAAUAAGCACCGGCUAACUCUGUGCCAGCCGCCGCGGUAACAC